rnacentral:rRNA from 1 species
AUACGGAGGGUGCGAGCGUUAAUCGGAAUUACUGGGCGUAAAGCGCGCGUAGGCGGUUUGGUCAGUCGGAUGUGAAAGCCCUAGGCUCAACCUGGGAAUGGCAUUCGAUACUGCCUGACUAGAGUAUGGUAGAGGGAAGUGGAAUUUCCGGUGUAGCGGUGAAAUGCGUAGAUAUCGGAAGGAACACCAGUGGCGAAGGCGACUUCCUGGGCCAAUACUGACGCUAAGGUGCGAAAGCGUGGGGAGCAAACAGGAUUAGAAACCCCGGUAGUCC